CAUGAAAGCAUUAGUUGACCUAGGGUUUAGGACAACGACAACCCUAAAUCUAUAAAUAAGCUUAUUUAACACUUGUUGGGGACAAAUUUUCAUACUUUAAGUUUUCCUUUGUAAUUUCAGUUUUUAGUUUUUAUUUCUUUUUGGUUUUCAGUUUACUUUUAGUUCUUUUUCUUUUAUGUUCUUUGAAAACGUUAUUUGUAAAUGUAAUGAAACACUAGUGGAUUUUUUGGCGCUUCAUCUAUCAAAC
rnacentral:lncRNA from 1 species